rnacentral:lncRNA from 1 species
CUUCACCCUGUCUGUCUCUGACCACUAGGCCUAUCAGAUGGACCAAUAGAGGCCCUCUCCUUCACCCUGUCCGUCUCUGACCACUAGGCCUAUCAGAUGGACCAAUAGAGGCCCUCUCCUUCACCCUGUCCGUCUCUGACCACUAGGCCUAUCAGAUGGACCAAGAGAGGCCCUCUCCUUCACCCUGUCUGUCUCUGACCACUAGGCCUAUCAGAUGGACCAAUAGAGGCCGUCUCCUUCACCCUGUCUGUCUCUGACCACUAGGCCUAGCAUAUGGACCAAGAGAGGCUCUGAAUUAUUUUAUGACUUACUGCCCCUACAGCCAUUAUCAAUCACAUUCAAAGAUUAAUUUCCACCAGUAUCAUUUAUAUUGGAUCAACAAGAAGAUACAAUAUAUGCCUUCGUAAUAAAAUCUGAUAAUAAACCAAUCCAGAGGUAGUUUGUUGUUCCUUCCCAAUCUAAAUUACUGCCUGGAUAGGAGAGGAGAGAGAGUCAG